rnacentral:rRNA from 1 species
AUGGCGGAGGGGGUGCUUGCUUCCAGCAUCGUGAAGGCGGUGCUAGCGAAGUUCGGGUCCUCGGUUUGGGGAGAGCUCGCGCUCCUGAGGAGCUUCAGGACUGACCUGAAGGCCAUGGAGGAGGAGUUCGCCACCAUCCGGAGCGUGCUCGCGGACGCCGAGGUGCGCGGUGGCAGCGGCGACAGCGCCGGCCGCGACUGGCUGCGCAGGCUCAAGAACCUCGCCCACGACAUCGACGACUUCCUCGACCCCUGCUGCACCGACCUGCGCGCCGCCCGCCGCCGUCGGAGCCGGGGCAGCCCGGCGUGCGGCUCCACGGCCACCUGCAUCGUCAGCUCCGUCGUCAUGGCGCACAGGCUGAGGUCCCUGAGGCGCAAGCUGGACGCCGUCGCCGCGGGGAGGGACAGGCUGCGCUUGAAUCCCAACGUUUCUCCGCCGGCGCACCCCGUUGCUCCCCCGAAGCGUGAGACCAUCUCAAAGGUCGACGAGGCCAAGACGGUGGGGAGGGCCGCCGACAAAGAGAAGCUCAUGAAGCUGGUCCUCGACGCGGCGAGCGAGGAGGACGUGUCCGUGAUCCCCAUCGUCGGCUUCGGCGGCCUCGGCAAGACGACGCUGGCGCAGCUGGUGUUCAACGACCGGAGGGCCAACGACGAGGUGUUCGACCUCCGGAUCUGGGUCUCCAUGUCCGUGGACUUGAGCCUCAGAAGGCUCAUCCAGCCGAUUGUGAGCGCGACCAAGCCGAAGCGCGACCUGACCAGCCUGGAGGCCAUCGCGAACUUCUUGUCCGAGACCUUCACGGGGAAGAAGUACCUGCUGGUUCUCGAUGAUGUGUGGAGCGAGAGCCAGGAGGAGUGGGAGCGGCUGAAGCUUCUCCUCAAGGAUGGCAAGCGAGGCAGCAAGAUCAUGGUGACCACACGGAGCCGCAAGGUCGGCAUGAUGGUGCGCACCGUGCCGCCGUUCGUUCUCCAAGGCCUCUCCGACGAUGAUUGCUGGGAGCUGUUCAAGGGGAAGGCUUUUGAGGCAGGGGAGGAGGAUCUGCAUCCCAAGCUGGUGAAGCUAGGGAAGGGGAUCGUCCAGAAAUGCGGCGGCGUGCCGUUGGCCGCCAAGGCUCUUGGGAGCAUGCUGCGGUUCAAGAGGAACGAGGAGUCAUGGACUGCUGUCAAGGACAGUGAGAUAUGGCAGCUGGACAAGGAGGACACAAUUUUGCCGUCUCUCAAGCCCACCUAUGACCAAAUGCCACCUGGUCUGAAGCAGUGCUUCGCGUACUGCGCAUCGUUUCCUAGAAACUAUGAGAUUGACAGGGACAAGCUUAUUCAGCGAUGGAUUGCUCUUGGCUUCAUUGAACCCACCAAGUAUGGCUGCCAAUCGGUUCUCGAUCAAGCCAACGACUAUUUCGAGCACCUGCUGUGGAUGUCUUUCCUUCAAGAAGUAGUGGAGCACGAUCUGUCAAAGAAAGAACUAGAGGAAGAUCGCAAUGUCAAGUACAAGAUUCAUGACUUGGUGCAUGACCUUGCUCAGUCUGUUGCCGGGGAUGAAGUCCAGAUCAUCAACUCUAAGAAUGCCAAUGCCAAUGGGCGCGCCGAAGCAUGCUGCCACUAUGCCUCAUUGGCUGAUGACAUGGGGGCCUCUCAAGUUCACCGGAGCACGCUCCGUAAAGUCCGCGCAUUGCAUUCCUGGGGUUAUGCUCUUGAUGUCCAGUUGUUUCUUCACUCCAGGUGCCUCAGAGUAGUAGAUUUGCGAGGCAGCCAAAUUAUGGAGCCUCCCAAGUCAGUUGGCAGAUUGAAACACUUGAGGUACUUGGACGUCUCUUCAUCCCCUAUCACAAGUCUGCCCAAUUGCAUCAGUGACCUCCACAACCUACAAACACUUCAUUUGGCCAGUUGUGGCAAUCUAUAUGUGCUUCCCAUGUCAAUAUGCAGUCUUGAGAAUCUGGAAACCCUGAAUCUUUCCUCUUGCCACUUUCAGACCUUGCCAGAUUCCAUAGGGCAUCUUCAAAACCUGCAAAAUCUUAACAUGUCAUUUUGCAGUUUCCUCUGUACAUUACCCAGCUCCAUCGGUGAACUCCAAAGUUUGCGAGACUUGAAUUUGAAAGGGUGCGUCAAUCUUAAGAUUCUGCCUGACACUAUGUGCAGACUGCAAAACUUGCAUUUCUUGAACCUCUCACAGUGUGGAAUUCUCCGAGCACUGCCCAAAAAUAUUGGGAAUCUCUCAAAUUUGCUGCACCUGAAUUUAUCGCAAUGCAGUGAUCUCGAGGCAGUCCCUGACUCGAGGCUGCAUACUCUGGACAUGUCUUACUGUAGCAGUCUGUCGGAAUUACCUCGAUCCGUUGGUGGCCUUCUGGAGCUUCAAACUCUCAUUCUAUCACAUCAUGCACGGAGUUUGGCAUUGCCCAUAGCAACCAGUCACCUACCAAACUUGCAGAUUUUGGAUCUCUCAUUGAAUAUUGGUCUGGAGGAAUUGCCUGAGUCAAUUGGUAAUCUUCAUAACUUGAAGGAGCUUAUUUUGUUCCAGUGCUGGAAUCUUCAUAAGCUACCUGAGUCUAUAGCAAACCUCAUGGUGCUGGAGAGGUUAAGCCUUGUUGGGUGUGCAGAUCUAGCCACGCUACCUGACGGCAUGACAACCAUCACUAAUCUGAAGCACCUACAAAAUGACCAGUGCCCAUCUUUGGAGAGACUACCUGAUGGAUUUGGGCAAUGGACUAAACUUGAAACAUUAUCCUUGCUCAUUAUAGGGGAC